AAAAGCAUUCAAAUCAGUAAGAAAAAAAAUAGACCUGAGGAUUGGGAACAGUUUAGAAGUUGGCAAAGGAGACCAAAGGAUCAAUUAAGAAAGGGAAUAGGGUUAUGGAGUAAGCUUGUGGAGAGCAGUACGGACUGUAAAUGUUUCUAUGGUCAUGUAAAGAGAAAAAUCUUGGUCAAAACUAAUGUAGGUCAUAGGUCUCUUACAAUCAGCAAUAGGGGAAUUUAUAAUGGUGAGCAAAGAAAUGGUUGACAAGCUAUAUUCAUACUUCACUUCCACCUUCACAAAGGAGGACUCGAAUCCUAGAAUCAUUACAGUGUGGAAGCAGGCCAUUCAGCCCAUCAAGUUUACAUCGACCCACCAAAGAGCAGCCCACCCA